rnacentral:rRNA from 1 species
UACGGAGGGGGCAAGCGUUGUUCGGAAUCAUUGGGCGUAAAGGGCGCGUAGGCGGCCGGCCAAGUCGGGUGUGAAAUCCCUCGGCUCAACCGAGGAAUUGCACUCGAUACUGGCUGGCUAGAGUCCGGGAGGGGAUGGUGGAAUUCCCAGUGUAGCGGUGAAAUGCGUAGAUAUUGGGAAGAACACCGGUGGCGAAGGCGGCCAUCUGGACCGGAACUGACGCUGAGGCGCGAAAGCCAGGGGAGCGAAUGGG